AGUAGAAGCCCUGGACCAUCAACACCAGGGAACACCCCAACACACCUGGCAUGAGGGAAGCACUGUACUGUUGAUGUUUGACCAUCUAAAAAAAGACGGGCCUUCGAGGCCCUAAGUCAGGAUCUCCCUGGGCAAGUUUCCAACGUCAAGUAUGAUGUUAAACGUAUCCCUGGACUACUGAGACGUAAAUCUGACCACAAGAAGAAAUCCGUGAAUACCGGUGUUGGUGUUGAUGCUGGUGCGGGCGUUGAUGCUGGUGCUGGUAUUGGUGCUGGUGUUGAUGCUGGUGCUGGUAUUGGUGCUGGUAUAGAUGCUAGUGCUGGUGUUGAUGCUGGUGUU